AUGUCCAGGUUGAUGGCCGCCAUGCUUCUCGGAGGCGCGCGGGUCGCCAGCGCCACGGCGCUCACCGGCAACACUGCCGUGAAGGCCAUUCCCAGGCCCUGCUUCCUCGCUCCCCGGCCGCAUGCCGCGAGCUGGAGCCCCAUCUGCAUGCAGACCGCCCCGAGAUCGUCGCAGGCGUAUAACAACGCGCCGGACGACCGGAGGGAGAUUAAGGACAAGUACAGGGGCGCAGCGGAGCAGGCCAAGGAUGCCACCGGCCAUGCCAAGGAGAGCGCGAAGGACCACGCGUCGCGCAUGGCCGACGAGACCAAGGACAGGGCCGGGGACGCCGCCGAGAAGGCCUCCCGCAUGACGGAGAAGGCGAAGCACGAGACCAAAGAGACGGCAAGCCAGGCCGCGGACAAGGCGGGAGAGAUGAAGGAGAAGGCCAAGGAGACGGCGGAGGAAGCCGCGGAGAAGGCCUCCCGCAUGACGGAGAAGGCCAAGCACGAGACGAAGGAGACGGCAAGCCAGGCCGCGCACAAGGCGGGGGAGAUGAAGGAGAGGGCCAAGGAGACGACGGGGCAGGCGAUGGACAAGGCCAAGGAGACGGCGGGCGCGGCCAAGGAGAAGACGGCGGAGGUGGCGGAGGGCGCCAUGGACAAGGCCGGCGAGGCCAAGGACAGGGCCGCGGAGGGCACCAGGAGCGCCGGGGAGAAGGUGGCGGAGAUGACCAAGGAGGGCGCGAGCAAGGUGGCCGAGACGGCGCAGGCGCUCAGCGAGAAGGCGAAGCAGGCGGCGCAGGGCGCCUGGGAAGCCACAAAGGAGGCCGCGCAAGGGGUGAAGGAGAAGGUCGGUACAGAGAGCACGGCGGAGGAGCACUCGACGUGGGACGACGUCGAGGCCGCCACCAAGGAGAGGGACAGGAUCGCGCAGGAGGAGCGGAAGAGGCAGGCCAGGGAGAAGGGCGCCGGCUUGCCGUAG
rnacentral:rRNA from 1 species